rnacentral:rRNA from 1 species
GAUGAACGCUGGCGGCGUGCUUAACACACGCAAGUCGAACGGGAUCCAUCAGGCUUUGCUUGGUGGUGAGAGUGGCGAACGGGUGAGUAAUGCGUGACCGACCUGCCCCAUACACCGGAAUAGCUCCUGGAAACGGGUGGUAAUGCCGGAUGCUCCAGUUGACCGCAUGGUCCUCUGGGAAAGCUUUUGCGGUAUGGGAUGGGGUCGCGUCCUAUCAGCUUGAUGGCGGGGUAACGGCCCACCAUGGCUUCGACGGGUAGCCGGCCUGAGAGGGCGACCGGCCACAUUGGGACUGAGAUACGGCCCAGACUCCUACGGGAGGCAGCAGUGGGGAAUAUUGCACAAUGGGCGCAAGCCUGAUGCAGCGACGCCGCGUGCGGGAUGACGGCCUUCGGGUUGUAAACCGCUUUUGACUGGGAGCAAGCCCUUCGGGGUGAGU